AGAAUCAAAGAAGAGGAGCUGAAUAUUUUUUGACAAGUUUCUGAAACAUCAAAAAUACUGUAUGCGGAGGAGAGUAUUUUAAUAAUAAAACCAUAAUGGGUAUAAUCUGUUCAAAGCUGUUAGUAGUAGUUUAAUGAUGCAAACUACUGUAGCAGAAGUAUGGUACAUCAGGGGGAUGAGAUUGAAAGCACCUGGUAAUUUCCUGGCAACAUGUGCCGGAUUCUCGGAUUCUACCGGAAGAGUAGUGUGUGACUAUGGUAAUAGUGAUAUAUGCCUAUGCUAAAAGGAAACAGCAGAAGAUGAUGGAAAAAAAAUUCUCUUUGGCAAGUUGGAAAGUAACAGAACUAAUUUUUCGACUCCGCCUCCCGGUCCCAAAUGAAUUGGAUUACCACAUAGCACACCAGGACUAUUCAUCUAAAUAGAAGGGAUGCUUUCGUGGAGAAUUUUCAAGAAAAACUGGCUCGCAUUAAUAUUACACAAGUGGAAAGCACGGAAACUCUCCUGCAGCCAGCUGGUUAGUCGAGAUUUAAAUCACGGUUGCACUCCAUAUCAAUGUUCACUGUCUUACUACUACUCAGCAAUUGAAUUUUUAUUAAAUAAACUGAAUAAAAUUGAGUUAACCUAUUAA